AAGUGUUUUAGUACUAUAUCUCUUGACACAAUGAUGAAAAUAAUCAUGGCCUCUAAACCUUCAAGCAGCAUACUGGACCCUAUUCCAAAUAAACUACUGAAAGAGCUGCUUCCUGUGCUUGGCCCUCCUAUGUUGAACAUAAUAAAUGGCUCUCUAUCCACCGGAUGUGUAUCAAACUCACUAAAAGUGGCAGUAAUAAAGCCUCUCUUGAAAAAGCCAAAUUUUAGAAAAAGCUGUUGCGCAGGAACUCACUGCUUUCCUGAAGACAAACAAUGUAUACGAAAUGCUUCAGUCUGGUUUUAGACCCAAUCAUAGCACUGAGCCUGCUCUUGUGAAGGUGGUAAAUUACCUUUUAAUGGCGUCAGACCGAGGCUCUGCAUCUGUCCUCGUGCUCCUAGACCUUAGUGCUGCUUUUGAUACCAUCGAUCACCACAUUCUUUUGAGAUUGGAAACCCAAAUUGUCCGUGUAGACCAAAUUGGUCUUGCCUGGUUUAGAUCUUAUCUGUCGGAAAGACAUCAGUUUGUCUCUGUGAAUGGUUGGACCUCUGACAAAUCAACUGUAAAUUUCGAUGUUCCUCAAGGUUCCGUUUUAGGACCACUAUUGUUUUCACUAUAUAUUUUACCUCUUGGGGUUGUCAUUCGAAAACAUAAUGUUAACUUUCACUGCUAUGCGGAUGACACACAGCUGUACAUUUCAAUGAAACACGGUGAAGCCCCAAAAUUGACCUCGCUAGAAGCCUGUGUUUCAGACAUAAGGAAGUGGAUGGCUGCAAACUUUCUACUUUUAAACUCGGACAAAACAGAGAUGCUUGUUCUAGGUACCAAGAAACAAAGAGAUCUUCUGUUGAAUCUGACAAUUAAUCCUGAUGGUUGUACAGUCGUCUCAACUAAAACUGUGAAGGACAUCGGCAUUACUCUGGACCCUGAUUUCUCUUUUGACGAACAUAUCAAGACUGUUUCAAGGACAGUUUUUUUCCAUCUACGUAACAUUGCAAAAAUCAUAAACUUUCGGUCCAAAAAUGAUGCAGAAAAAUUAAUCCAUGCUUUUGUUACUUCUAGGUUAGACUACUGCAAUGCUCUACUUUCCGGCUACCUGGAUAAAGCACUAAAGAAACUUCAGUCAGUGCUAAACACAGCUGCUAGAAUCCUGACUAGAAGCAAACAAUGUGAUCAUAUUACUCCAGUGCUAGCAUCCCUACACUGGCUUCCUGUUAAGGCAAGGGCUGAUUUCAAGGUUUUACUGCUAACCUACAAAGCAUUACAUGGGCUUGCUCCUACCUAUCUUUCUGUUAAAGGAAUUUCAUUCCUUUAUGUUCAUCAACCAAUUAAAUUAAAAUAAUCUGCCCAUUUCUAAGAAUUUGUAAGAUACUUAUUUGCAUAAAAUGGACAGAGACCAGUCUCAAAAUCAAUGAAUAGCGUUUAUUCUCGAGAGUACUGAUCAUAAUACAAUGUACAUUGGUUUAUAUACAUCACAUUUCGUCAUAGCGUUUUGAAUGCUGCUCCUCCUUCUCUCCGAAACAAUGGCAAUAUAGUUCACAAGCCUUCCCACAUUGUCUGCCACCUGUUAAACAAUCUACUACUAGCCCAAGGUCUCUCCCCUCCCUGGGUAGAGCCAGGAUGUCCUGUAAGGAACACAGCAUUCCAUCCAGUUUGACGAUAGCUCCAUUAGUUUCUAACAAGGAACAGACAGUCCUUGUUCUAAUUCUUGACUAAAAUUACACACAUUAUAUUCAGCAUUAUGGUUAUAAUAAGAUUUAUACAUCCAUACAGUAACAUAGUAGUAUUCUGUUUAGUUAUAGUUUUAAGUUAAAUGUAUACAUAAUUUACCGUAAUUGCUGGACUAUUAAGCGCACCUGAAUAUAAACCGCACACACUGAAUUAUUUAAAAAUAUGUAUUUUGUACAUAAAUAAGCCGCAGGUGCCUACCGGUACAUUGAAACAAAUGAACUUUACACAGCCUUUAAACGAAACACGGCUUGUAGCAAAAAUUAAACCGUGGCCUACCAAGAAAGUCAUUGGUCACUAUCUUCCUCCUCCUGUGCACUGAAACCACUAAAGCCAUCUCCUUCGGUGUCGGAGUUGAAUAGCCUCAGAAUUUCUUCAUCCGAUGUUGGAUCAUUUUCAUUGUCGCUCUCGUCACUUUCAUCCGGAGGCAAAUACCCCGCGGAGCUCAUGCUGCCCCUUCAACACGCAGCAGUCCAGCCUUUCAAAACCCGUUGAUAGUGGAUUUUUUGACAAUGCUCCACGCUGUCAGGACCCACUGGCAGACUUGACCAUAAGUUGCUCUUCGCAUGCGGCCCGUUUUUUAGUGAAGGAUUUCUCCCCACUUGUCAUCCAAGCCUCCCACUGAACAAGGAGCGCUACCUUAAAUGCACGAUUUACACUGAUGUCGAGUGGCUGCAAAUACUUUGGGCCAUCUGCUUUUCUUCCCUCUGAAAGCUGUUGUUGUCUUUUUGCACUGAGUCAGUUCCUCACGCUGCUUUCCAACGUCUUAUCAUCGACUCAUUAAGGCCAAGCUCCCGUGCAGCAGCUCUAUUUCCUUUUCCAACAGCCAGAUCGAUCGCCUUCAACUUGAAAGCUGCAUCAUAUGCAUUUCUCCGUAUCUUUGCCAUGAUGAGGGUGACAAAAUUUUUGGCGGCAUGAAUCUUGUGAAAGCGGGAAAAAUCCAUAAAUUAGCCGCGUCAUUGUAUAAACCGCGAGGUUCAAAGCGUGGGAAUAAAGUAGCGGCUUAUAGUUCGGAAAUUACGGUAGUCAUUAUUCAUCAAAAUCCCAUAACACUUUCCGAUUUGGUCCUGCUGUACAUACCUACACGUACGCGACGGUCACAAGACGCAGGCCUCCUAAUUGUCCCUAGAAUUUCUAAGCAAACAGCUGGAGGCAGGGCUUUCUCCUAUAGAGCUCAAUUUUUAUGGAAUACCCAUGUGAGAGACGCAGACUCGGUCUCAACCUUUAUGUCUUUACUGAAGACUCAUCUCUUCAGUGGGUCACAUGAUUGAGUGUAGUCUGGCCCAGGAGUGUGAAGGUGAACGGAAAGGCUCUGGAGCAACGAACCCACCCUUGCUGUCUCUGCCUGGCCGGUUCCCCUCUCUCCACUGGGAUUCUCUGCCUCUAACCCUAUUACAAGGGCUGAGUCACUGGCUUACUGGUGCUCUUUCAUGCCGUCCCUAGGAGGUGUUUGUCACAUGAGUGGGUUGAGUCACUGACGUGAUCUUCCUGUCUGGUUUGGCACACCCCCUUGGGUUGUGCCGUGGCGGAGAUCUUUGUGGGCUAUACUCGGCCUUGUCUCAGGAUGGUAAGUUGGUGGUUGAAGAUAUCCCUCUCGGGGUGUGGGCGCUGUGCUUUGGCAAAGUGGGUGGGGUUAUAUACUGCCUGUUUGGCUCUGUCCGGGGAGGUCUGGUAUCAUCGGCUGGGGCCAGAGUGUCUCCUGACCCCUCCUGUCUCAGCCUCCAGUAUUUUUGCUGCAGUAGUUUAUGUUUCGGGGGCUAAGGUCAGUCUGUUAUAUCUGGAGUACUUUUCCUGUCUUAUCCGGUGUCCUGUGUGAAUUUAAGUAUGCUCUCGCUAAUUCUCUCUUUCUCUCUUCUUUCUCUCUCUCGGUGGACCUGAGCCCUAGGACCAUGCCUCAGGACUACCUUGCAUGAGGACUCCUUUCUGUCCCCAGUCCACCUGGCCGUGCUGCUGCUCCAGUUUCAACUGUUCUGCCUGCGGCUAUGGAACCCUGACCUGUUCACCGGAUGUGCUACCUGUCCCAGACCUGCUGUUUUCAACUCUCUAGAGACAGCAGGAGCGGGUCGCUACUGUCCAGAGGGCUCUCCCCUGGCCCUGCCCUGUCCUACAGAAGAGUACCAGCCCAACCCAGGCUCUGACUCCUGCAUCCCAUGCCGCCCAGGUUUCUACUAUGAGGAGGCCAUUGUUAGAGAGCCCUGGCCUUGCCCCCCUCACUCCUUCUGCCCUGCAGCCACCAUGGUUCCCCAGGCGUACGUUCACCCCUGCUGACCUGGGGUGGUUACAAGAAGAGCGGGAGUGUCUGCCCUGCCUCCCAGGGAGGUUCUGCAGGUGACACUGUUCUGUACCGGUGUCCUGCUGGUCACUACUGUGAUGGGGUGGCUUGUAGUGACUACGACCGAGGGGUGGGACCCAGGGCAUGUCCAUUCUUCACCUACAGAUCCACCCCUGGGACAGCCAGCAAGGGGGACUGCCUCUCCUGUCCCCCUGGAUCCUACUGUAACUCUACAGUUGCAUGUUUCCCUUCUACUGUCCUGCAAACAGCUCUGCCAUGCUGUCCUGUGAGGGGGGCUCUGUGCCUCUCAACACCAGUGGCCCCAGAGCCUCCCAGGAGAGCAGCUGUGGGCUGUGUGAGGCAGGGACCUACCGACCCCCACCCUCACUGUCUCACCUGCCCACUAGGGUACCGCUGCCCUCCAGGUCAGCUGUUUGUGUUAAUUUUAGUUUAGUGUGAUUGCUUUAGCAAGAUUUAGUGAUGCUUUCCACAAUCCAUCCAUCUUUUCAACCCUCUUUUAUCCAUUUGUUCAUUCUUCCAACCUUCAUUCAUCCUUCAAAGUUUUAUCUAUACUUUCUUAGCCUCAUACGAACCACGCCUGUCUACCAUGUAGCGGAACAGAAUGUAAGCUUGUGAAAUCAGGAUGGUUCAUACGAGGCUAAUACCUUCUUGCCUACUUAAAUUAAUCCAACCAACAAACCAUCAUCCAUCUAUCAUACCGUCAUCUUUCUUCCAUCCAUACAUCUAUCCAGUCUUCAAGCCUUUCCUUCAUCAAUUUUUUUCAACAUUCAGUUAUCCAUCCAUUCUUCUUUCUUCAUCCAUCACACGUUUCAUCUUUCUUGAUUUCAAAGCUUCCUAACCGUAAAGCUGUCCAAUAUUUUCUGUCCAUCGGGGACAGAGCACUACCACAGCAACCCCUGUCCCCUGGGCUACGUGUGUCCGCUGGGCUCAUCCUGUCCCUUGCCCCCCUGAAUAUUUUGAUAAUGGCGAAUCCUGGCAGACUGGCGACGCUGGGCAGACUGGCGACGCUGGGCAGACUGGCGGUGCUGGGCGACGCUGGGCAGACUGGCGACGCUGGGCAGACUGGCGGCGCUGGGCAGACUGGAGACUCCGGCAGCGCAGGAGAGGAGACAGGCUCUGGCUGCGCUGAACAGGCGAGGGGCACUGAAGGCCUGGUGCGUGGUGCUGGAACUGGUGCUACAGGAUCGAGGACACGCACAGGAAGCCUGGUGCGGGGAGCUGCCACCGGAGGACUGGAGUGUGGAGGUGGCACAGGAUGGGCUAGACCGUGAAGGCGUACUGGAGAUCUUGAGAGCUGUGUUGGCACAGGACGUGCAAGGCUAGGGAUGUGCACAGGAGGCCUGGUGCGUGAGGCUGGCACCAACUUCACCAGCCGACUAACACGCACCUCAGGUUGAGUAUAGAGCGCUAACUCAGGUGCUAUCAAAUCCCCGACACGAUCCGUCGGACGAAUAUCGUAUCUAUAGCACCAAGCUAGCAACUCCCUCAUUACUCUCCACUCCACUUUCCCCAUUAACUCCUUCACAGUCUCUGCUUCGCUCACCUCUAACACUGGCUCUGAUCUCCUCCUUGGCUCCUCACGAUAAACAAGGAGAGUUGGCUCAGGUCUAUCUCCUGACUCAGCCACUCUCCCUCUGA